rnacentral:piRNA from 1 species
AUUGAGAUCAGGACAGAAAUGUA